CCCAGGGUGGUACAGAUGGUUAAUGCUCUUGGUUGCUAAUCAAAAGGUUGGUGGUUCAAGUCCACCCAUAGGCA
rfam:Loxodonta africana unplaced genomic scaffold scaffold_6, whole genome shotgun sequence.